GUUGGAAAAAAUGCAGAAUGAAUUUCUACAUCUAUGGACUACAUUUUCAUAGGAUAUUUAUCAUAGAUUAAGGAUGUUUAAAUCUGUGGAUGUGAGGUUAACGUUUGAAGAGGUUGAAGUAAAAUCGCAAAACACAGAAAACUGCGGGGAACGUGCCUACAGGAGGAAUAGUGUGAUUGGCACUCAUUUUAAGUAAGAAAACUUCAACUAUAAUCAUGUCACUUCUCCGUGGAUUAGGAAAAAAACAUAUUGAACUUGCUACAAAGUGGGUAGCUCCCGUAAUUACCUAUGGUACUGCAGCUAGUUUAGGGGUAGUUUACUUUACUGAUUGGAAAGUAGUACUUCAAUAUGUUCCCUUUUACAAUACCAAAUUUGAAGAAUAAUUUAAUAAUAUCAAUAGCAGUUUAGUAUGUUCUUUCAUUGUUAGAAAAAUGAACCUUGUAAUUAUAUUGAAAAAACAAUAUGUAGCAUACAAUCAGUAUUUUGUUAUAUGAGUUAAAAUGUUACGAACAACUAUCUUAUUAUCAGUAAAUAAACACACAAACAAAUUUCUUCAUUA